rnacentral:rRNA from 1 species
AGAGUUUGAUCAUGGCUCAGAUUGAACGCUGGCGGCAUGCCUAACACAUGCAAGUCGAACGGCAGCACAGCAGAGCUUGCUCUGUGGGUGGCGAGUGGCGGACGGGUGAGUAAUGCAUCGGGACCUACCCAGACGUGGGGGAUAACGUAGGGAAACUUACGCUAAUACCGCAUACGUCCUACGGGAGAAAGCGGGGGACCUUCGGGCCUCGCGCGGUUGGAUGGACCGAUGUUCGAUUAGCUAGUUGGUAGGGUAAUGGCCUACCAAGGCGACGAUCGAUAGCUGGUCUGAGAGGAUGAUCAGCCACACUGGGACUGAGACACGGCCCAGACUCCUACGGGAGGCAGCAGUGGGGAAUAUUGGACAAUGGGCGCAAGCCUGAUCCAGCAAUGCCGCGUGUGUGAAGAAGGCCUUCGGGUUGUAAAGCACUUUUAUCAGGAGCGAAAUACUAUCGGUUAAUAACCGGUGGGGCUGACGGUACCUGAGGAAUAAGCACCGGCUAACUUCGUGCCAGCAGCCGCGGUAAUAC